UACGAAGGGGGCUAGCGUUGUUCGGAAUCACUGGGCGUAAAGCGCACGCAGGCGGAUCGAUAAGUCGGGGGUGAAAGCCCGGGGCUCAACCUCGGAAUUGCCUUCGAUACUGUCGGUCUUGAGUCCGGGAGAGGUGAGUGGAAGUCCUAGUGUGGAGGUGAAAUUCGUAGAUAUUAGGAAGAACACCAGUGGCGAAGGCGGCUCACUGGCCCGGUGCUGACGCUCAGGUGCGAAAGCGUGGGGCGCAUACAGG
rnacentral:rRNA from 1 species